rnacentral:rRNA from 1 species
AAUAGAUACCCGGGUAGUCCACGCCCUAAACGAUGUCAACUGGUUGUUGGGGAUUUAUUUUCUCAGUAACGAAGCUAACGCGUGAAGUUGACCGCCUGGGGAGUACGGCCGCAAGGUUAAAACUCAAAGGAAUUGACGGGGACCCGCACAAGCGGUGGAUGAUGUUCUUUAAUUCGAUGCAACGCGAAAAACCUUACCCACCUUUGACAUGUACGGAAGUUGCCAGAGAUGGCUUCGUGCUCGAAAGAGAGCCGUAACACAGGUGCUGCAUGGCUGUCGUCAGCUCGUGUCGUGAGAUGUUGGGUUAAGUCCCGCAACGAGCGCAACCCUUGCCAUUAGUUGCUACGAAAGGGCACUCUAAUGGGACUGCCGGUGACAAACCGGAGGAAGGUGGGGAUGACGUCAAGUCCUCAUGGCCCUUAUAGGUGGGGCUAGAAACGUCAUACAAUGGCCGGUACAAAGGGUCGCUAAGCCGCGAGGUGGAGCCAAUCCCAUAAAGCCGGUCGUAGUCCGGAUCGCAGUCUGCAACUCGACUGCGUGAAGUCGGAAUCG